rnacentral:lncRNA from 1 species
GCUUUGAUUAUCUCUCCUGAAUCUAAUUUAUAGGACAAUAAUUUUUCCAGGGAGAUAAUUUUUAUUUCUUCUAUUCUCAUUUCUUUGGAUUUUAUCUUAUUUUUUCCUGAUGUCUUAUGCAAUCAAUACAUUUCAGUUUUUAGGAAGUUCAUGUCUCUUGACUUUUGUGUUUCCUUUUCUAUAUGGCCAUUAUCACUCUUUAAACAUUGUUUACUUCAGUGUGUUUUUUGCUUCUAUUUAGAUUUAAUCCAUUGUAUUCCUUUGUGAAUUGUUUUCUUCAAUGCAUUUUUGUGCCUCUUAUCAUAUUCUACUUUUUAGGAAGUUGAUUUCCCCACUAAAUUUUCCCCUAGUUGUUGUGGUUUUCUGUCAGUUCUCUUAUUAUAUGAUUUUUUAAAUUUCAUCUCAAGUUUCCCCAGGUUGGCCUAAUAUCCAUUCACACUUUCUUUUUUUUCCAUUUUAGCAGAGUCUUCUUCUGAGUUUGAAUUUUGUACUCCCCAUCACUAAAGUAACUAUAUAUAUAUUCAAGAUUUUUCUUUGUCUCUUGAUCAUUUUUCUAGUUAUUUUUUCCUAUUAGUUUAUCUAUUUGUUGAUGCAAUUCUCUGACCCUGGUGUAGAGGGGGCACUGACCCAAUUUUUCAGAGUUCUAGCCCUUCUCUGAGGUAAGACCAGAUGCCUUUGUCUCUUACAAUGUGUUGUCACAGGAGUGGCUUUGAUGAUUGACUCUGGGGAGACUUACAACUUUUUUUUUUCUUAACUAAAUUCACCACUUCAGGUUACUAGUUCCCCUGUUGUUUUGUAGGCUGGACUGGUCCUUGUUCUGUUGAUUUUCUGCUUCAGAUAAAUAGCUUGCAGCUUGGGCUGGGGGAGUCCCUGCCCUGAACUUUGUUGCCUCAGGCACUCUGUUGUUUCAAGGCUUCAGGUACUUUGUUGCCAGGGCCCUCUCCCUUCAAUAUCCAAGUGGAAUGACUUAGGCUGAGCCCAUUCUCCCCUCUGGCAUUUCAUUACUUCAGGCAUUUUACUGCCACCUGAGUAUAAGUUUCCUGGCUCAACUGACUGGGCUGCCCAUGACAAAUGGUUUAAGCUGGGUCAGUCUUCCACCCUACCAUCUUUGUCUCAUAUAACUGUAUCAAGUGGCUUGCUAUGUGCACCUUCUCAUUCUGAAGCUUUAUUGCCUGUGGCAUAGUAACAGAAUUUUGGGCUGCUUUGAGUUCUGCCACUACCACUCUCUCCUUUUACCCCAGUGAGAGACAUGUUACUCAUGCUUCUCUUUAUUGUGAUGUGUUUUAUUUUAUUAUGUAUCUUUGCGUGGGGGAGUUCAAGGAAGUAGAGCAUCCUUUAAUCCACUAUUUUAGGACUCAGUAUGCCCUGAUGUUCUUCCAUAAGAGGAUAAAAUAGAAAUUGAAAGAACCCACUGAAGAUCUCCUAAAGGGAAUCCCAAAUUUAAAAAUUAUCUGAUUCAUAGAACAAUUUCAGAACUCCUAAGAUAAAAAAAAACAACAAGCUGCUAGGGGAAAAAAGUUCAAAUGUUAUGGAAUCACAAUCAGGAUUACAAAGGAUCCAGCAGUUUCUACAAUAACAGAUCAGAUCAUGGAAUAAGAUAUUCCAUGAGGCAAUUGAUAUUGUCCUACAAUCAAAAAUCAUCUACACAGUGAAACUAAGCAUUAAGUAAGAAAUUACUCCAGGGGACAAAAUGGACAUUUAAUGAAAUGGAGGAAUUCCAGGCAUUCCUGAGAGAUGAAAUGACCAACAAGAGAAAUGAAGAAGUUUUGAUGAUCAAAUUUAACACUCAAAAGAAGAAUAAAAAGAUAAGUGAGUCAAAAUUUUGAGAAUCC